GAUGAACGCUGGCGGCGUGCCUAAUACAUGCAAGUCGAGCGAACUGAUUAGAAGCUUGCUUCUAUGACGUUAGCGGCGGACGGGUGAGUAACACGUGGGCAACCUGCCUGUAAGACUGGGAUAACUUCGGGAAACCGAAGCUAAUACCGGAUAGCAUCUUCUCCUUCAUGGGAGAUGAUUGAAAGAUGGUUUCGGCUAUCACUUACAGAUGGGCCCGCGGUGCAUUAGCUAGUUGGUGAGGUAACGGCUCACCAAGGCAACGAUGCAUAGCCGACCUGAGAGGGUGAUCGGCCACACUGGGACUGAGAUACGGCCCAGACUCCUACGGGAGGCAGCAGUAGGGAAUCUUCCGCAAUGGACGAAAGUCUGACGGAGCAACGCCGCGUGAGUGAUGAAGGCUUUCGGGUCGUAAAACUCUGUUGUUAGGGAAGAACAAGUACGAGAGUAACUGCUCGUACCUUGACGGUACCUAACCAGAAAGCCACGGCUAACUACGUGCCAGCCGCCGCCGUAA
rnacentral:rRNA from 1 species